UUUAAUAGUAACAUAUGCAGGAAAAAUGAGGGUCAGGGAUAAGUGCUGAGUCCCACUUUAGCUGCACCAUGGACCAACAGGGACAUGAUUCCACUUUUCAGUAUAUAAAACGCUGUUAUCAAGAGCACCAUGAUCAAUUUCUUCUGUUGAACCUCAUGCUCAGCAAGAAUUGAUUAGGAAGUAAUAGACUUAAAUGAACUGAAGAAAAUUUAAGAUUUACUUUAGAAAGAACUUUCUAACUGUAAGGACUGGUAACAAUGAAACAGCUGAGUUAUUGAAUCCCCAUAUCUGCAGUCUUUCACUUUCUUAGAGUGAGAAAUGGUGGUGUUCCUGGAUUGGAACAGAUGAAAGGAUUAGAUUAUUUAUUUUUUCUUUGUUUUGUUCCUGCAAUCAUUAUCUAAACUUAAAAAUAAUAUUCAGUACCUUUCUCACCUCCUAACCUUCCAUGCAUGAAGUUCUCUAUUUUUUGUUCCCCACUGCCACCCUUUUUUAAGCUUUACACAGGUUCUUUACCCUUUUCCACUGUUUUUGUAGGUCUGGUUCUGGGAAAAUGUUUGGUCCACUUCUACUUCAUUCCCCAGUGCAGCUGUGCUGGCAAAGUAAGCCUUCCACCAACUCUUUAGUCCUGAGUGAUACAGUGUAGAUGAGUGGUGCUAUAUAAAUGUAAAUUUCAAUUCAUUCCCUUCAUUUAUUCAACAAGCUAUCAACACAACCUUGUCAUUUCAAUUUUUCACACUUUUUUGUGGGGGUCCUCUGUCUCGGUGAAGUCUCAUUUCCUCAGCCCAGUGCCAAAGGUGACUAGGCUGCAUUAGAAUUUACAGUCACUUUCUAAGUGGUCAGAUGAAACGAGAAGCAGGAGGAAGCCACUUGCAGCCUUUUCCAAUCUUUCCCUUGGAUUCAUUAACCAGCUGAACAGGUAGUGCUGCCACCUCCACCACUGUACAGGUACAGAUAUGGGAUGAUAUGUCUUGUGUGAGUCAUGCAACUUCCUUUUUUAUGUGCUCCGUUAGCUGUAUUUUUCAAACUUUGGUAAGUGAUGUACUUUAACACUGUUCAAUGUAAAUACUAAAAAAUAUUUACAUAGGAAAUACAAAGAGUUAAAAUCCCACAUGGUGGGGAAGGAAAUGCAUUACAGAAAAAUUAACUUUCACACCACCACCCCUUUCCCAUUACCGCUGGAAAGAAAAUAUACUUUUGCUUUUGCCAUUCUGCCCAGGACUUCUUCUCCCACAGAUAGUUUGAAUGUAGAUUUUGCAGGUGAAAGUGGCCUUGUAUGUACUUACACAGACUCUUGCAAAGAGAUACCUGUUCUUACAUCAGCAGCAGCUUCCCAAAUAGUUAAUAUGAACACAUUCAAGAAGAAAAGGAUGAAAAAGGUCCUUCCACAGUCCCCCAUUGUAAUCUGGCCAUUUCAUGUUUCAACAUUGUUGUCUGAGUGCAAAAGAGAUCUCUGGCAGUUAAAAUGUCAUUUUCACUGAUAUGACUGACCAUUACUAAAUCACCUUUACAACAUUUUUUGGGUCUUUUUGCCCUGUCUGGCCUGUUUGCGCCUUGUCUCUUGACAUCCUUCCAAACACUUUAAGCUACCCCACUAAAUGUGCUUUCACACCAAAUGGAGUUUAUUAAUUUGUCCUUACAAAGGACAACCAAGAAUAUAAUAAUAUAAGAUAAUGCAUAUGUGGGCUGGUCAAUUUGCAGCCCUUUGCCAAAAUGGUACAAUUUUAUCCAAGAUGUGUAUGUUAAUAAUACCACAGGAAUCCACAGGGAGAGUCCAAAUGUGGAGCUGGAAAUACUUGAUUUUUAUCUGCUUUAGCACAGUGUCUGCCUUUCAGAGAAGAAUUUCUCUGCCAUCUCCUAGAGACACCUUUCCAACAUCUUACUUCUGAGCCCUACAGAAUUGAAAAUUAUCUUCUUAUUUGUCUUAGCCUCUCAUGCAAUCUCCCCUUCUGUCUCUGCCUCUUGUAUUAAAUUUUUUCUUUACACUCUCUUAACUUCCUUCUGCAAUUUUUCUAGUCCUCCUCUCUAUCUAAUGUUUUAUAGCUUGCAUAUGCCUCUUUCUUAACCUUAAUUACUUUUUGCACUUCCUACUCCUAGUGUAUUUAUUGCUUGAUAGCACACAUGAGCCUUGGCGUAUAUUCAUUUAUCUUUGAACGUUUCUCAUUUGCCUUUGGUUCAUUUGGUAGCAGCUCUGUACCUCAGCUAGCAGGCUGUGGGUUCAAGAUUCACCCCAAUAUUAGGAGUGUUUCUUGGGGAUUCAUCCUGCAGGGGAUUUAUAAGGCUUUUGGAUACCAUACUGGUGAUUUCAGGCAGUACCUUCCAUAAGCAUUUCUUCUGCACAGCUCUGCUGCUUGCUAAGGUACCCAAGCAGGUAAAAGUUCAAGACUCUACUGCGUUUUAUGGCAAGAGCAAGAAAACUAGUUGUCUUGGUUAGUACUUGGUAAACAAAAUAUUUCCAAGACCAUUAUUCUACAUGUGAGUUAUUGUUAGCUUCUACGUUUGAUGAUUUUCAUUAUUAGAACCCUGUGACAUUUAAUCAGGACAAUUAAACAGUUUGAUAAUUGUUUCUUAUAUAGGGGUGUUGCGAAUAAAUUAAUAAUUUAUUGCACACUGUUUAAAAGACACCAGCCUAGGGACAAGAGCCUCAAAUGUUAAUCUUUUGGACCAGCUACCCUCCUGGUGUUUAUUAAAAUAAACCUUGAUUCAAAUUACAGUGGAGGUAUUGGGGUCACCAUAUUUUUAUUUGCUAAUACAGCAGAUUAAUACUCUGCCUUCUUAAAGCAACUUCAAAUUCAUAACUCUCUCUGUUAAAAAUUUCAGACUUACCUGAGUUUAGAGCUAGCUCAGUGGUUUUGCAACAGUGCAGUCAGAACCAUGAGCAGUUUUAGACAAGAUGGAGGACCUGAAAUGGUCUCAUUCUCUGUGGUUUUUGUUAUUUAUAGCUGCCUCUGACCUACCUUUUCCCCUUUUUCCCCCCUCCUAUGCCAACAAGUAAUAUUGCUAAGUUCUAUGUUCUAAUGAUGAGGUUGGUUUAUAAUAAUAUCGUGAUCUUUUUUCUUAAAAAAAAAAAAAAAGUAUUACUGUCCUUUGGGUUCUUUUCUGAAGAAUUCAUCUUUGUGCAAUUCAUUGUCACAUUUGCACGCUAACCUCUACCUCUGGUUGGAAAGGGUGUUACUGGAGAAAAGCUGCAUUACAGAAAAUUGCACCAUAAAAUAGCCAUCCAUAUCCUGGUCAGAUCCAUGUCUGACAAAAUGUGACUCUGAGCUUUGAGUGGAACUGUGAUUCAAUCAGGCUCUCACCAAAUCCUUUUGUGAGAAAUACAUUAUCCUACACCAGUACAUAUCAAACUGAAGGAUCAACAUGAGGGGCUGGGAGAUGUGACACCUUUGAGCACUGAGGGACGGUACCUGGAGGAACAAUAUGAUGGCCUUCCUUCCCUCUGUUGUAACUGCUCAGGAAGAAGAAAAACCAGAUGCCUGUUCAGACCAGAGGGAACCAGAUGUGACAUGUAACCUGCAGAGGGCUGAGCUGAAGAAUGGGGACAUUUCUGUUUUGGUUGGUUUUUUUUUUUUUUUUUUUCU